UGCGCAGGCGGUUUGUUAAGACAGGUGUGAAAUCCCGGGCUUAACCUGGGAACUGCGCUUGUUACUGGCAGACUUGAGUGUGGCAGAGGGGGGUGGGAAUUCCAGGUGUAGCAGUGAAAUGCGUAGAGAUCUGGAGGAACACCGAUGGCGAAGGCAGCCCCCUCGGGUUAACACUGACGCUCAUGCACGAAAAGCGUGGGGGAGCAAACA
rnacentral:rRNA from 1 species